GGGCGUGUGGCUCAGUUGGUAGAGCGCCCGCUUAGCAUUAAAUCUUCGGACCAAGCAAUUGCGGAAGGUCCCCGGUUCGAUUCCGGGCUCGUCCA